GAGGGUAUAACUUAGGGGUAGAGUAUGUGCUUAGCAUGCAUGAGGUCCUGGACUCAAUACCCAGUACCUCUG
rnacentral:tRNA from 1 species